UGAAGUUGGAAGCUGAACUGACUGAGCCACCCAGGAAUCCCUAGGGGAAAGCUUUUAAAAUAGAUUCCCAGCCCCAUCCUAGAGAUUCUGAUUCAGCCGGACUGGGUGGGGCCUGAGAAUCUGUGUUUGGAAUCUGUACUGGGGAUUUGGGGGGAAUUUGUUAGUGACCCAUAGCCUAGCCCAUCCUGACUGAUAUGCAUACUCCUGUCAGCUAUGACAUGGGGAUAACACCUUCGGUAGACUGUAUCCAGUACUGGGGGUCCGUAUGUCUACAAAGUCAAGGUUGUGGCCUGUCAAAGAACUAAUGCUUACUUCUUCAAUAGGAGGGAAAUCCUCUUCCUGAAGGUGGGAGGGGCUUCCCCAAGGAUGUGAGCUCCACCUCCCCCUGUUUUACCAGUCCCCAUUAAAAAGAGAAGUGUGAUCCACUGAUUCACCAUUGUGUCCCUAGUGCCUAGCCCAGAGUGUGGCUUGUAAAACACUGAAUUCACAUCUGAUAGGACUUACUGUGAUGUUCCUUUCCAUGAAUCUCCCAGUAGAUUAUGUUCAAGAACAUACCAGGAACUUCUCUCCCUUCCCUCAGCCCCUCUACACCCCUCUGCCCUGAGCCAUUGGUUAACUUCUUGACCCCAGUCCCAGGCUGGACACCUCACUGCCUUCUCUGCCUGAUCUUGAUAAUGGCACUACAUAGGAACUUCUCAAUGAUCCAAGUAAUACUCAUGAAAAUUCAUAAUCACUCACUAUGAAACAUUUGAAAAUCAAGGGCAAGCAGGAAAAAAAAAAAAAAAAAAAAAAGCCAGUAUCUAUAAUCCCCUCUCACAGAAGGAACUAUUGUUGACCCUGUGAUAUUACCUUUCCCUCCAUCCUUUUGUCUUCUAUGAGUUCCCCCAACCCCCCACAUCCGUGGCAUAAUUUUAGUGAGAUCCCAUGAAUGGUUGCUCUUUAGGAGGAGAGAGAAGAGCCACCCACAAAUGCAGAAAAUGUCAGGGCUGGCAGGGGACUUAUGAAUUGUCCAACCAACCUCUGCCAUUACCGAUGACGACACCGUUUUAAAAUAACCUGGGUGCAAAUGUGUGUGAAGUCAAGACAAAUGUCUGCACAACCUCUGCCAAGCUCAGUGACCGUUGUCUGUGGGGUUGGGGGCACAGGAAGGGCGAUGAAAAGAUACUGUACAUAUCUUGAAUUUUUUUUUGCUACAAAAAUGCAUUCAAAUAUUAAUUGCACUUGAAGCACAUUAUUCUUGUUAAAAGAACAGGAAACGAAAGCCAUGAAAUAGAAAGCAAUUGAUGUGUACAGUUUUGCCCAGCUCUUGCUGUCAGGUCUCGACCACUAUAUCCCUGGGCAUCAGCCAGUCUUCUGCUGUCCUUGCUCUUCAGCCCAUUGUUCCCAAGGACAAGGGUCACUCCAGGGCAGCCCCUUCGCUCCGACAACACGGGCACCCAGAUGCCGGAACGACGUGGGAAAAGGGAAGAUUCUGCAGGCCCCAACCUGAAGCCCAGGCCCACAAGUCCAAUCUCUGCCAGACCCAAGAUGGGAUCAAAUGCCUUCAAGUCCAGACUCGGCCCCAUCCGAGAGGGGGUUACUGGCCGCUCUCAAGACGAAAGGGAUCCCUGGUGAAUCAGGAAAGUUAUUGGGCUGGAAAGUGGUUAAAGGGCUGAGCGUGGGAGGGGAUUUCCACCGAGAGAGCCAGGCCCAGGAGCAAGCCUGGGCGGGUCGGCUGCAGGGUUGCUACCCACUUGAUGUCUGUUGCAAUGGUGCCCAUAAAACCCAAAUCGUUAGACUCGAAGCCUUGAUCAGUUUUUUCUUCUGUUUCCCUUUAGAGAAACGGAGAUCCGAGGAAACCCCAAAGCUCUAGAACAAAGGACUCUACAUCAAAGGGGUGCAGGCAGGGUAGGGAAAGGACAAGGGAAGCGCAGAUAUAGGAGAGGCUGAGCCCCACGGCUCAGCCCCCCGGCUGCUCUGCUGUGGUGUCCAUGGCCCGCUCCAGAAGGCCCCGCUGACCCUGCAGAAAUCUUGUGGCCAGUGACUACCAUUUACAUCUCCAAACUGGCCCUUGCUUUCAAGCCAGCCCUGUGGUUUUGUUUUAUUUUUAAAAUAUGUGCAAUACAUGUGUGCGUGUGACAUCCAAACCAUAUACAAGCACAGCUUUGGAGAUAUUGUGGGCUGGGCUCCAGACCACUGCAAUAAAGCAUAUGUUGCAAUAAAGCGAA